ensembl:rRNA 5S_rRNA 5S ribosomal RNA
GUCUAUGGCCAGACCACCAUGAACGUGCCCAGUCUCAUCUGAUCUCAGAAGCUAACGGGGUCAGGCCUGGUUAGUACUUCGACUGGAGAGUGCUUGGGAAUACUAGGUGUAGUAAGUG